UUCCUCCCGCACGCCUCCUCCUCUCUCCCUCCCUCCCGCAGCCGCCUCCCUCCCUCCCGCGCGCCUCCUCUCCUCCCCCCGCCUCCCGCAGCCACAUCGCCGCCGCCGCCACCCGCCUCCCCACUCGGGCGAACCCCUCUCCUCUUCCCCCGCCUCGCCUCUCUCCCUUCCCCCGUCCAAACCCUAGGCCCGCGCCCGCCAGCCGCCGCCGCCGCCGCUCGCCCAGGCCAUCCUCCCGCUGUGAAGGAAGCGGCCAGAGAGGAAGGGCGUCGCCGGGUGUGCAUGUGCCUCCGCGGAUUCGUGCCACGGUUGCCGGAGGCGUGGGCGCCGCGGGUCACCUCUCCAGAUCGGUGGAGGCCAAGGGCAAGGGCAAGGAGGAGGGGAGAAGAAGACCUUCGGCCAGCUGCGGGAAGCCGGCGCUGGCGUCCUCCGCGGCAUCCACCGGCGCCGGUGGCGGGCAGAAGCGCCAGUGCCACGACCACGCGCACUCCGAGAACGUCGCCGGCGGAAAGUACGGCCGGCUUCGUCUGCUCCAAGCGCAGGAAGUCCCGGGUUCGGCGGAUGACUCGCGUGCCGGCAAUCAGCUCGAAGGCGGCGGAUAUCCCCGCGGACGACUUCUCGUGGCGCAAGUACGGGCAGAAGCUGCCUGUGGAGAAUGCCCUGGACUCAGCAGUUGACGUAACUCGGUUGAGCUGCGGUGCACUAUAUUUAGCUGAUUUUAUUGGGAAGGGAAGAGGUAUGAAAUUCUCAACUUAGAGGGAGCAUACACAAGUGUAAGCAGACCCUUGAGCAAGAGAGCAACAUGACUGCUAGCUUCCCUAUAAGUUCAGCUGCAUUACAGGAGAUGGAUACGAAGUCCUCGGAGGAGGAAUACAAAGCUCUACAAGGUGAUGGAGCUGGAGAUGUGUAUUUCCAGUCUCUUGAAGAACGAAUCAUUAAUAUGAAGUGAGUUUCUGAACUAGGCGGGAUACCAUGGUCCAUGGGUGCAAGAUAACUCAUAUAUGGAUUACCACGGGUCCGGUGCGUUUAAAGUAUGUAUAUGCUUAUAUGCGUGGCUGCUGUUGGUACAACUUGACAACUCCAUAUAGAGAUUUUGCAGGGAUGUAUAUAUAUGGUCAUGUUUCACUGGGAUCCUCAACUGUUCCAGUUCGUAUUUAGCAGGAUCACAUGUUGACCAAUGACUCAAAUUAAUUUUCUCACUGAUCCAGUUAACUCAAGAACUUGUGACCCAGUUCUAGGACAACUGUGGACUAAGGGAUGGAGGUUGAUUUAUCAGCGGUUACAGGCAUGCAUGCUUUAUGGUGGCAAGCAUUAUAUAUCAUUGAAGACUUUCCAUUUGUUCAAGUUCCUGAUAUGCUAAUCGGUAACCUUUAGAUUUGUUUGGAGAGUUCUGUCCAUCCAAGCACCAUGCGUAUGUGGCCAGUGAGUUUGCAUUGUGUAGAAAAUUAUUGCUACUAAAAGAAAUGAAAUUGUUUUCUUCGUCCUUGUUUCAAACCAACUAAUAAACUAGAUGCUUGGAAGACUCUUUUCACUAUAUAGUUCAUGUAUGCACCUCUACUUGAUAAUCAUAAAUAGUUUGAUCACACCAUUCUUUCAAAAAAUAAACAAUCUACUAAAAACAACCAGCAGAUGAUGUAUCUGAAGGCAUUUCGUUUCAGGUGAUAUGUUCGUGACUUAAUUUUGUGGCCUACACAACUAAUGCAGAGGUUAUAUAAGUGUAGAGCAGUGAUUUAGGAUAUGAUGUUUUUUAAAUACCUUUCGCGAAUGUUUGUUUGAACUCCGUUCCGAGACCACAUACUUUAGGAAAUUUUUCUUAUGUUUCAACCAAAUAAGCUCUCAAAGGAUUAGCAAGCACAUGGACCAUUCCGAUUAAACUAUUUGUUCUAGGUCACAAUUGAAGUAUUGAUGUGUUCUGCCCAACGUUCAUUACACCGAGUCAUGUAUUAUUUUUUCUGAACAUACAUUAUAUUUUCUAGAAAUUUCUCCUCUGUUAGAGAAACAUAUAAAUUCUUCUGUCUUUUUAUUACAUGAUACAACCUAAGGAAAUUGGAACGACUGGUUUAUGUGGGAAACUGACGGGCUAAAGCUCAAAAGCUCACACCUGGAUGUUUUUUGUCACACCUUCAAAAUCGUGUAGAAGAAACGCUUACAAAAAGAAGAAAGAGACCUGGUUUGCCUUCCUUGCUGGCGUCCUUGUCAUCUCCAACCCGCCCACGGGGUGCUCAAGGGGUUCGGCCAAGUCGGAUGCCAGGCGGUGCGCGCAGCUGAGGAGCACUGGCAGCAGGCGCUUGAUGCGGCGCUCCCCGCGUCUCCGCUGCUCAUUCGCGGCUCCUCCUCCUCCCCAACGGAUCACGACUGAACCUUCCUUGUGCCAGCACCUCGUGGCCAUGAAGGGUGGCUGAGCCAUCAGGAGCGGCGGCGGGGCCUGCUGCGGAUGCUGCUGCGGCUCCCUCCUCUUCCUCGCCGGCUUCUACCUGCUUUGUGCCGACGCCAUGUACAUCGUGUCAUCCCGGUGCUUCUGCUUUCCCGGGUCGCAACUCUUUGGUGUGCUCGACAAGGCCAGGACACACAUUCUGGAGAGCUCCUUGGUCAGUCCAUCACGAGAACCGGCAGCUACCGGAUUCCUUUUGUGCUGCUGGAAAGGAGGCACAUUGUUCCCAUGCUCGUGCUCUAUGGGUAGAAGCUGCAAAUUCUGGAGGUAUCAGACGAGGGUAUUCGAAGAAGACACCAUGAAUGGCAGCAGACUCUACCGCUUCCAUUACAAUGGUAUUCGAAAAAGAUACCACCUUGUGGCCUUUCCUGUUUCCUGUGACUACGACUUCCAACUCUUUAACUGGGUUGGUGUCAAAAGAAAUUCUGUAACAGAGACACAAUAAAAUAAAUUGGUACAACUAUAUGGAUUCCUUGGUAAGCUCAUGAUUCAUCUGGCUAAGCAGUCUUAGUAGACCGCCAAUGUUGUGUUAUUAAGAUGCAGGUUUCAAUAACCUUCAUGUUUGCGGCUAAAAUAAUGUAGUUAUCUCGGUAGUCUAGGUAGAUUGAAAUAAUUGUUUAUCCUUGAAGCAAAUCAACUAAACAACUGCCAGUAGAUGAUGAGGUGCCUUCUGCAAACAAAAAAGCUAAGCUCCAAGCGAGUAUUUUUAGGCGACCUAUCUUUUUCGGUGAUUUGUUUAAUCCUUCCUCUGCUCAAUUGAUGUGAACCACAAACCUUGCUCUGCUAAAUUGAUGUGAACCACAAUCCUUGCUCUGCUCAAUUGAUCUUCCCAGCAAAUCAAUGAACAUGUGCCCAUAGGGACACAGUCAAAGGUGCGCUUGUCAACUUAAUGGUUUUCAUCCAUAGUGCUUUGCCAUUAUUUUUAUUUUUAUUGUUUUUCUCAUUUGCCACUGUUGCGCAUUCUUUCUAGGACCAGUAUAUACAUCAUGAUUUUCUUUGUAUGUAAUUGUUAUUUAUACUUGAAGCAAGGUAUCUGAAGACCUGAUGGGAAAUGAGGAGGUGCCCUUUGCAACUAAAAAGACUAAGUUGGAGACCAAGUGCCCUUAGGCAACGCGCCCUUUUGGAUCGUAGCGUAUUAGUUGCGGAUGUGCAGAAAAUGUUGAUUUAGCGGAUGGAUUGCCUUUUCCAUCUGGGAUCGCUUUUGUUGCGACCUGUCGCUUAUAAUAGAGUGAUUUGUUUUGCUGAUCCUGGCCAAGUGGAAUCUACUGUCUGUCAAUGUCCAAAUGCUGCAGUCAGUAGUUAGUGUGACAUGGAUCUUGACUAAUGUAUCCCAUCAGUUUAGCCGUGUGUUGCUAGCUGAUGUGAAAGUAUGUGUGAUUACCAUACUUAUUAUGAUUAUGGAUGUUGCUACAUGUUUCAUUAGCUAAAUUUUACCUAUGCA